ACAAUUUAGUAAUCUAAUGUUCUAGAAAUGUAAAAUUCCUCUCCUGUCGUCUUCUACAAUAAAAUCCGAAGUGUCGUUAUCUACAAGAAGAGUCCAAAGUGUCUUCAUCCAAUCGUUGAUGACUUCAGAAAAAGCUUGCUUCAAGCCCAACAACUACGGUCCACGGAUAUGACUACUUAGAGCAAGUUCCAGCCUCACACAUGAAUUGCGAUCUUCUCAAAGGAAGUUGUUGGAUAUCAAAGACCCUUGGAGAUCUUAGGGUUUAGGCUUCUAGAGGCUUUAAGCAUUGUACAAUUUGUAAACUUCAAAGCAUUAGUCGGGGUUGUUCUUAGUCGAGUUGAAUAAUUAGGCUUAAUUAUUCUUAAUUGUUCUUAGUGUUAGUUCUUUUUGUCUUCACGGGCGGCUGAUAAGAAAUAGAGGACAAUUAGGCUUAAUUAUUCAUUCAGGUAGAAAAUGUCGGGGUUGUUCAUUCAGGGGUUGUUCAUUAAACUUAAUUCUCCUUAGUCGGGGUUGUUCAUUCAGGUAGAAUAUGUCAAGUAAGUUCCGAGAUAAUACUUGUUAAAGAGUUUAUUAUCAAUAAAAAUAAAGUUUAAGCACUUGUUGUUUGCAAGUGAAUUCUCUGUGUUGUUUUUGUCUCUAUACCUUUUAAAUUAUAUUUUUAUUGAAUAUAUAGAGUAAAUGUAAAAUGG
rnacentral:sRNA from 1 species